CUAUUGGAAACGAUAGCUAAUACCGCAUAACAGUAGAUGUUGCAUGACAUUUACUUGAAAGGUGCAAAUGCACCACUACCAGAUGGACCUGCGUUGUAUUAGCUAGUUGGUGAGGUAACGGCUCACCAAGGCGACGAUACAUAGCCGACCUGAGAGGGUGAUCGGCCACACUGGGACUGAGACACGGCCCAGACUCCUACGGGAGGCAGCAGUAGGGAAUCUUCGGCAAUGGACGGAAGUCUGACCGAGCAACGCCGCGUGAGUGAAGAAGGUUUUCGGAUCGUAAAGCUCUGUUGUAAGAGAAGAACGAGUGUGAGAGUGGAAAGUUCACACUGUGACGGUAUCUUACCAGAAAGGGACGGCUAACUACGUGCCAGCAGCCGCGGUAAUACGUAGGUCCCGAGCGUUAUCCGGAUUUAUUGGGCGUAAAGCGAGCGCAGGCGGUUAGAUAAGUCUGAAGUUAAAGGCUGUGGCUUAACCAUAGUACGCUUUGGAAACUGUUUAACUUGAGUGC
rnacentral:rRNA from 1 species